AAUAUUGCGCAAUGGAGGGAACGCUGACGCAGCGACGCCGCGUGAGCGAUGAAGGUUUNCGGAUCNUNAAGCUCUGUCCUUGGGGNAGAAGGCGGCCAUUUAUGGUCACUUGACGGUACCCAAGGAGGAAGACCCGGCUAACUACGUGCCAGCAGCCGCGGUAAUACGUAGGGGGCAAGCGUUGUCCGGAAUUAUUGGGCGUAAAGGGUGAGGAGGAGGCCUUUUAAGUCGGAUGUGAAAGACCACGGCUUAACCGUGGGGUUGCAUUUGAAACUGGAGGGCUUGAGUAUCGGAGAGGGUAGUGGAAUUCCCAGUGUAGCGGUGGAAUGCGUAGAUAUUGGGGGGAACACCAGUGGCGAAGGCGAAUACCUGGACGAAAACUGACGCUGAGGCACGAAAGCUAGGGGAGCAAACA
rnacentral:rRNA from 1 species